rnacentral:rRNA from 1 species
CCUACGUGAGGCAGCAGUGAGGAAUAUUGGUCAAUGGGCGGGAGCCUGAACCAGCCAAGUAGCGUGAAGGAUGACAGCCCUAUGGGGUUUAAACUUCUUUUAUAAGGGAAUAAAGUGCCCCACGUGUGGGGUUUUGUAUGUACCUUAUGAAUAAGCAUCGGCUAAUUCCGUGCCAGCAGCCGCGGUAAUACGGAAGAUGCGAGCGUUAUCCGGAUUUAUUGGGUUUAAAGGGUGCGUAGGCGGAUUGUUAAGUCAGCGGUAAAAUGUCCGGGCUCAACCCGGGCCGGCCGUUGAAACUGGGGAUCUUGAGUGGGCGAGAAGUAUGCGGAAUGCGUGGUGUAGCGGUGAAAUGCAUAGAUAUCACGCAGAACUCCGAUUGCGAAGGCAGCAUACCGGCGCCCGACUGACGCUGAGGCACGAAAGCGUGGGGAUCGAACAGGAUUAGAUACCCGAGUAGUC